AUUGAACGCUAGCGGGAUGCCUUACACAUGCAAGUCGAACGGCAGCACGGACUUCGGUCUGGUGGCGAGUGGCGAACGGGUGAGUAAUGUAUCGGAACGUGCCUAGUAGCGGGGGAUAACUACGCGAAAGCGUAGCUAAUACCGCAUACGCCCUACGGGGGAAAGCAGGGGAUCGCAAGACCUUGCACUAUUAGAGCGGCCGAUAUCGGAUUAGCUAGUUGGUGGGGUAACGGCUCACCAAGGCGACGAUCCGUAGCUGAUUUGAGAGGACGACCAGCCACACUGGGACUGAGACACGGCCCAGACUCCUACGGGAGGCAGCAGUGGGGAAUUUUGGACAAUGGGGGAAACCCUGAUCCAGCCAUCCCGCGUGUGCGAUGAAGGCCUUCGGGUUGUAAAGCACUUUUGGCAGGAAAGAAACGUCAUGGGUUAAUACCCCGUGAAACUGACGGUACCUGCAGAAUAAGCACCGGCUAACUACGUGCCAGCAGCCGCGGUAAUACGUAGGGUGCAAGCGUUAAUCGGAAUUACUGGGCGUAAAGCGUGCGCAGGCGGUUCGGAAAGAAAGAUGUGAAAUCCCAGAGCUUAACUUUGGAACUGCAUUUUUAACUACCGAGCUAGAGUGUGUCAGAGGGAGGUGGAAUUCCGCGUGUAGCAGUGAAAUGCGUAGAUAUGCGGAGGAACACCGAUGGCGAAGGCAGCCUCCUGGGAUAACACUGACGCUCAUGCACGAAAGCGUGGGGAGCAAACAGG
rnacentral:rRNA from 1 species